rnacentral:misc_RNA from 1 species
UACGUAGGGGGCAAGCGUUGUCCGGAAUUAUUGGGCGUAAAGCGCGCGCAGGCGGUCCUUUAAGUCUGAUGUGAAAUCUUGCGGCUUAACCGCAAGCGGUCAUUGGAAACUGGAGGACUUGAGUGCAGAAGAGGAAAGUGGAAUUCCACGUGUAGCGGUGAAAUGCGUAGAGAUGUGGAGGAACACCAGUGGCGAAGGCGGCUCUUUGGUCUGUAACUGACGCUGAGGCACGAAAGCGUGGGGAGCGAACAGG